GCUAGCUCAGUCAGUAGAGCAUGAGACUCGUAAUCUUAAAGUUGUGGGUUUGUGACCUACAUUGGGCA
rnacentral:tRNA from 1 species